CAGCAGCCACGGUAAUACGUAGGGUGCGAGCGUUAAUCGGAAUUACUGGGCGUAAAGCGUGCGCAGGCGGUUCGUUAAGACAGAUGUGAAGUCCCCGGGCUUAACCUGGGAACUGCAUUUGUGACUGGCGAGCUAGAGUAUGGCAGAGGGGGGUAGAAUUCCACGUGUAGCAGUGAAAUGCGUAGAGAUGUGGAGGAAUACCGAUGGCGAAGGCAGCCCCCUGGGCCAAUACUGACGCUCAUGCACGAAAGCGUGGGGAGCAAACAGGAUUAGAUACCCCCGUAGUCCCUGUCUCUUAUAC
rnacentral:rRNA from 1 species